rnacentral:rRNA from 1 species
CAAGGAAUAUUGCCCAAUGGACGGAAGUCUGAGGCAGCAACACCGCGUGGAGGACGAAGGCCUUCGGGUCGUAAACUCCUUUUCUGGGGGAUGAAGUGCCACGAGAGUGGCGUUGACAGUACCCCAGGAAUAAGUCUCGGCUAACUACGUGCCAGCAGCCGCGGUAAAACGUAGGAGGCAAGCGUUAUCCGGAAUUACUGGGCGUAAAGCGCAUGCAGGCGGUUGUCAAAGUCGGACGUGAAAGCUCCUGGCUCAACUAGGAGAGGUCGUUCGAGACUCGGCAGCUAGAGGGUGAUAGAGGCGAGUGGAAUUCCCGGUGUAGUGGUGAAAUGCGUAGAUAUCGGGAGGAACACCAGAGGCGAAGGCGGCUCGCUGGGUCACACCUGACGCUAAGAUGCGAAAGCCAGGGGAGAGAACGGGAUUAGAAACCCCCGGUAUUCCUGGCCGUAAACGAUGUCAACUAGGCGUAGGCGGUUAAUAAUCCGUCUGUGCUGAAGCCAA